AUGAAUAAUUGGGGACCCAAUUUAUUGGAAAACUUCUCAAUAUAUUUCAAAUGUUAUAUUCCACUCACUAUCGCACUGAAUAUGUUAGGGAAAAUCUCCAAUAACACAAUUAUUAUAAGCCUGAUGUCGAAAAAUAUCCGGGAUUGCUUUGACGAAACGAUGUGACGUGUCGGUCCAAUCGCCGGUGUAUCUGGAAAACGCGGCCGGUGUAUCUGAUGCC